UACGAAGGGGGCUAGCGUUGCUCGGAAUCACUGGGCGUAAAGGGUGCGUAGGCGGGUCUUUUAAGUCAGGGGUGAAUCCUGGAGCUCAACUCCAGAACUGCCUUUGAUACUGAAGAUCUUGAGUUCGGGAGAGGUGAGUGGAAUUCCGAGUGUAGAGGUGAAAUUCGUAGAUAUUCGGAAGAACACCAGUGGCGAAGGCGACUCACUGGACACGUAUUGACGCUGAGGUGCGAAAGCGUGGGGAGCAAACAGG
rnacentral:rRNA from 1 species